CAAAGGUGAGCCAGUACAGGAUGGACCCGCGUCUGAUUAGCUAGUUGGUAAGGUAACGGCUUACCAAGGCGACGAUCAGUAGCCGACCUGAGAGGGUGAUCGGCCACAUUGGAACUGAGACACGGUCCAAACUCCUACGGGAGGCAGCAGUGGGGAAUAUUGCACAAUGGGCGAAAGCCUGAUGCAGCAACGCCGCGUGAGUGAUGAAGGCCUUCGGGUCGUAAAACUCUGUCCUCAAGGAAGAUAAUGACGGUACUUGAGGAGGAAGCCCCGGCUAACUACGUGCCAGCAGCCGCGGUAAUACGUAGGGGGCUAGCGUUAUCCGGAUUUACUGGGCGUAAAGGGUGCGUAGGCGGUCUUUCAAGUCAGGAGUGAAAGGCUACGGCUCAACCGUAGUAAGCUCUUGAAACUGGGAGACUUGAGUGCAGGAGAGGAGAGUGGAAUUCCUAGUGUAGCGGUGAAAUGCGUAGAUAUUAGGAGGAACACCAGUUGCGAAGGCGGCUCUCUGGACUGUAACUGACGCUGAGGCACGAAAGCGUGGGGAGCAAACAGGAUUAGAUACCCUGGUAGUCCACGCUGUAAACGAUGAGUACUAGGUGUUGGGGGUUACCCCCUUCG
rnacentral:rRNA from 1 species